rfam:Triticum aestivum genome assembly, contig: Triticum_aestivum_CS42_TGACv1_scaffold_160741_2DL
GAUGUACUCCCUCCGUCCGGAAAAGCUUGUCCCAAGCUUGUUCCUCAAAUGGAUGUAUCUAGCACUAAUUCGGUGCUAGAUACAUUCAUUUGAGGGACAAGUUUUUCCGGAUGGAGGGAGUAUGAA